rnacentral:misc_RNA from 1 species
AGGGUCUGGGUCAGGGUAA